CUACAGAACUUCACAAUCGUCUCCUUGAAGCGUACCAGGGCUGUGUUCAUCGACCAUUUCGUAGCUUCAGCCUCUGAUCAGAGAGAGGGAGAGAUGGGGGGAGGAGGACAUGGAGGUAGCACGACCUACAAGGGAUUCACCAUGCAUCAUCCGAAGCGAUGGCACGUUGUAACUGGCAAGGGCCUGUGCGCCGUCAUGUGGUUUUGGGUCUUCUACAGGGCAAAACAAGAUGCUCCUGUAGUAUUGGGUUGGCGACAUCCUUGGGAGGGCCAUGGUGACCAUUCCCAUGGCCAUGGAGAUGAACAUUAGGUGAAUCUCUGUCUUCCACUACUGGGGUACGAGUUCUACUGUAAAUUAAAUGCCGAAUGCCCAAACCUCAACCAUAUAAACAUUGUGGAGGAUUGAUUGUGGGAUUUGUGAAGAUAAGCAUAAAAGGUUCUUUUCUGUGGUUACUCGUUGCUAAUCUCUAAUGUUCAACAAUAAAGUUUAUUUCGAAAACAAGAGAUUGUAAAUGGCACGAUGUGAUUAUCUUUGAACUUUGUUUUUGCGUGUUUAGUUCUUAAGCAUGUACCUGUUUUGCAGUGUGCAUCGACAGAUUCUUUUCUUUUCUUAUGCGAAAACAGCUAAAUCUUUUGGUUCGUGAUAGUAUUAGUAGGUUGAUGAAGCCUCAACUUAAUGUGUUGA